AAAUCUAGUAGUUUUAGGAAUUUGUGUGAAUUCAAAAAAUAUAUAAAAUGUUAUCACUCGAUAGUUAUCUAGCGAGUCCUAUGGCAUCUUCCGUUAAGUCAAUUUAUAUUUUUAAAGCAUUAAUAAAGUGAAAUCCAUUUCUGUGUUCCGAAUUUUAAGACGGUUCAUAGGUAGUCCUACUUGGGACAGAAAAGAGGACAUACAUGUAGCACAUUCAAUUCAAUUGAUGAACUACAAAUCGCCUAGAGUAUCGCCCACGGCGAUAAGCCCACACCCAGCUCUUUCGCUUACCCCUGGAUUGUGCAUCGAAUAACAUCAAAUAACAUCAAAUAUCCAGAAACUGUCAACUGCCAAAUGCACUUUGAGCCCAGCCGCCAGGCAUUGAACAAUUUUUGCACAAUAGAACACGAAAAAUGCAAUAAAGGCCCUGAAAGGAAGCCAUCCCCCCGCACCUUCAGCCGCCCCCUUGACUGUCCUGGCUCAUGGUCAGAGUAGAAAAUCGAUGAUUCGUUUUGUUUGACAUUUGUCGAGGACCGUUUUCAAUUUGUCUCUAACAAUUGUGCAAGCUGCCUGAAUUGUUAAUGGUGCCUAAAAACAACCGAAAAUGGGUCAAUGAUAGAGGCGCCCUAAUUGCUCGACAGGUGAUUUUGUGGUGCACCUUUAUUUAGCUAUAAAUACCGCUAGUAUUUAGUCAAUGGGUUUUCAAUAAGCCCGUUUAUUUGUGGGAUUUGUUCUGCAACUAAUUGUGUUAUAUUAUAUUCGGCACAGUUCCGGGAAAUAUCAACAAUUAUUUCAGUUCUUGGAAUAAUUUGUGGUUCCUAAAAUUAUUAUAUAUUAUGCACCUUUGCGUCUUACAAGAAUUGCAGUAUGAAAAUUAUCCCACGAAGAAGAUUGAAAAUAUUGAUCUAUGUAAAUUAAAUUAAACUAAUAAAUUGAGUAAACUUAA